rnacentral:rRNA from 1 species
UACGUAGGGGGCAAGCGUUGUCCGGAAUCAUUGGGCGUAAAGCGCGCGCAGGCGGCCCGGUGUGCCGCCCGUGAAAUCCCCCGGCUCAACCGGGGGGGGUCGGGCGAGACUGGCGGGCUGGAGGCGGGUAGGGGGCAGCGGAAUUCCCGGUGUAGUGGUGGAAUGCGUAGAUAUCGGGAGGAACACCAGUGGCGAAGGCGGCUGCCUGGACCCGGCCUGACGCUGAGGCGCGAAAGCGUGGGGAGCGAUCCGG